GACUAGGGCCAGUAGCAGCCCUAACAGGGCUCUCCCUGAGUCCCAGGGAGGUGAGUUCCCAGAGAAAGGGGCUCUGCACGAGGGCAGAAUGGGCAGGAGAUGCCGCGAGCCUGCUCCGGGUCCCGGUGGAUGCCUCCUUAGCUGGAGCUUGGAACAGACUCACGGCCAGCUACUGACUUUUUAACAAUAAAAAAU
ensembl:ribozyme RNaseP_nuc Nuclear RNase P